UCCUCUUUCUAUUUCCAUACCCUCACGUGCAGCCCCAACAUGUGCCAUACCAAACCAGGUGGCCAUUAUAGUAUUGUGAUCCUGCUCCAAGAUGAAUUUCCCAUGCAGGUAAGUAAACAAGGGUAAAGUCAGUGAUUUUCAAGGGAUCUCCUUGUCCCGGGUUUUGUUUAGGAAAAUGCCAUAAAAGGGAAGAAGCAGUUGUGUUCCUUAGUUCAUCCUUUUUUGAAAAUUACUCGAUGAUCAUCAUGCACUGAACACUUUGGUAGGUACUGUAGAUACAAAGAACCAACUCUUCCUUCAAGGAAAUUAUACAGGACACCAAGGGAGAGAGAGAAGACUGAACUUUCAUUUACCAUACUAUGUGAAAAGUAAAUAAAGUACAGAGGGUUACCUAUUCAGCACUUGGGGAGCUUUGAGCAAUGCUCAUAACAGUGUACUUUUGACAUAGGACCUCUGAGUGAGUGCAAAAAGCAAGGAGAUAGGUGUGGACAGUAAGAUCUGUUCAGAAACUUGGAAGGAUCUAGUGUGGCUGGAUGGGACCAUGUCUGUGAGGAAGUUCCAGAAGGGACUGUAGAGGUGGGCUGGGGCCAGAUCAUAAAGGGCCUUGUGCAACAUUAAGGAGGUGAAACUUUCGCCUGAAAGUGAUGGUGAAGCACCGAUGGAUUUUUAGAUAACUGACCAGAUUGUGUUUUAGAAAAACUAUUCUGGUAGUUAUUUGUAUGAAAGACGGAAUUUUGGGGAGGAGUUGGUGAGGUUGAAGAAGAUAAACAAAUUGAAAGGUGUCUAUAAAAAUAAAGUAAAUAAACAAUGAGGGACUAAAACAGAAAGUUAUUGCAGUUAAGAGAGAGUGCACUAGAGUCGACUUCCUGGGUUCAAAUUCUGGUUUUACCAUUUACUCGAUGUGUGACAGUUGGGAAAGUUACUUAACUGUUCCUUAAUUUCCUCAUCUGUAAAUUGGAGAUAAUAAUAGUACGGUCGUUUGCAGAUUAAACGAGUUAAAAUAUGUAAUAUAUUUGCAUCAGUAGCUGGCACAUGCAAAUACACAAUAGAAGUUAGCUAUAACUAAAGCAAAGCAAAAGCAAGGAGGAUGCAGAAGAAAGGAGAAAAAUGGACAUUGAACAUGUGUGAGAGAUGAUUCCAGGCAUAUCCCAGAAUUGUGGUUUAAGUGACCAUGUGGGUAGACACUGAUGGCCUAACAGAGUUUAAUGAGAAAGAUGAUGAGUUUAAUUUCAGAUGUAUUGAGUUUGAGUUGCUUAUUGUAUAUUCAAGCAGUGAAGCCCUUUAGGAAAUUGGAUAUAUUAAUCUAGAAUUUAAGAAAAUAAUAUCCUGGACAGAGAUGUAGGUUUGUAAAAAUUGGGUAGUAUAAGACAUGAAUUUAUGUGGUCAUGCGAGAGUGUUCACAGAGUGAGAAGAAAAGAGUGCCUGAGGACCAGAUGGUGGCAAACACUAACAUUGAGGACAGUAUAGAAGAAAAAGAGACUGCAGAGAAGCCUGAGAAGGCAUAGCCACAAAGAAGGAUCAGCAUGAGGAAGGACAAGAACAAAAUAAUGAGAAAUACUGCCAAGAUUGAUUAAGUUGGUAGGGUUCUGGGUAACAGAGCUUGCUAGCUGUCUCCCCAUGGUCAUAAUCUGCUUCUAAAGAAAUAGAAGUUUUGGCUGCCCCAAAUCAAAAUGACAUUUCCCAUCCUCCCAUCCAGUUGGUGUGGCCAUGUAAUUAAAGCCCACAGUGGGAUAUAAAUGAAAGUGUCCUAUGACAAUGUCCAGGAAUUUUCCUCAAGAGGCAGCUGGCUCAGCCUUUACACUGUCUUCAUCCUUGUCUCGAUCUGCUACCUAGGAUUUGGAUACUAUUAAUACCUUUACCUUGUCAAUGAAGAUAACAGCCAUCUCUUGGUGAGUGGAGCUGUGGGCUGGAAGGAGCUUGCAUCCCAGAGCACCUUGUGGAGCAGAGCUGCCAUACAGCUCUAGAAUACAUCCCCUUCAGACUUUUACACUUAGAGAAAUCAACAUCUGUCUUAUUAUGCUAGUGAUGUUUUGUUUUUGUUUCUGUUUCUCCCAGCUGAACUUAAUUCUAAUCUACUCACUGUGUUUUGUUUUGUUUUCUCUUUGACAGGAAAAUAUUUUGGGAGAAAUCCUGAUGAGUUAAGGCCCCCUCUAUACUACCCAUUUUUACAUUUCAUUUUAAAAUUAUAUGAAAAUAUGACAUGAACUGUUAGUUAUGGAGGAUAUAAAGUUGGAUGUUGCUUGUAUUAAUAAGAAAACUAUGCAGUCAGGAUUCUUUAACAGCUGACAUCUUGAGGCAACAUUGGUUCUCUGAGAAAGUGAAAGUUUUUGCUGGCUGGAUCAGGAAAAGGAAGUGAUGCCUGGAAAUGGAGUAGCCAUCUAAGGGAUGAUAUCAAAAGCCACAUGCUGAGCAUUGUGAAGGGAAGAGCUUGAAGGAACAGCAAGCACUUGCACUAGUCCUGGACUCGUGAGUUACGGAUUUCUUGUGACGUGAGAAAAAUAAACCCCUUUUUGGUCAAACCCUGUUGGCCAGCUUUCUAUUACAGGCAGGCAAACGCAAUCCUCACUGGCUCAAGUGACUUGCUCACAGCCAUCAAACUAGUGAUGACAGCCAGGAUUAAGACUUGGAUCUGUUUCACUUCAAAGGCCAUGCUCUUUCCAGGCUAUUGGGCACCUUCAAGGUUUGUUACUCUUUCUAUGCACUUCUCAUUUUAGCUUCCUGGAGGCUGGGAAAGUGUUCAGGAACUCACAGACUCUUACAUUCCUUCCUGGGAUUUAGAAAUGUAUUUCUAUGUGUAUCCUGUGCAAUAUGUGACUUUUCGCAGGUCCAUUCAAAUCUGACCUCAACUCUCCAAUACUCUUCCUGGCACAGCUAAGCCACUGACUUCCACUGGCAGGCUCCAUCAGCAUAGCAUCCUAGAACUUACCAUUCUCCUCAGA